AGCCCACUGCGGCGAUGCAGACGCGCCGCGGUGGGCGGGGCUGCGGUUCCGUCUGCCAGCUCAGGAACAUUCGGCUGGUGUUCCAGGUCAGUUCUGGCUUUAAGGCAAACAAGCUAAUUAACUGAACAACAUCAAACUCCAAUGACAGAUUGAUAACCCUGGUUAUGUUCUCCUGCAGACAAUGUCCUUCAUCUGAAGUCACCUUCAGAGGCUGCAGGCUCUGAGCGGGAUCAACUCUGCAGGAAAACAGAGCCUGAGGCUGACCCGCCCAGCCUUUAAACAAACAAAACCUUUCCUAAAGGUUUACAGCAUUUCUGAUCAAAUCUUUACUGAAACAUCGUGUUUUGAUCCGGUCUCGGUUUCAGCUGUGAUCACCAGCGUUUGUGAUCGGGUCUUCUCAUGUCUCCUUUUCAUUUUUACUUUUGACACGUCCAUCAGUUUAAACCUUUCUGUCCAAACUACAAUCAAAAUAAAAGUUUUCAGGAAAGUUUCAAAGCGUACAGACGCUGUCUGUCAUUUUCAGGAAGAACUUUGCAUCAACAUACUAAUAAGGCAAAGAUGACAAAGUUGAUUAUUGGUUCUAGUUGAGGUGUGUCUGAGGCUUCCAGAGGUGUCUACUUAUCAUACGUGCGCUUUCUGAAUGACUAUUUAAAAAAAAAGUCCUUUUGAAGAACCUUUCCUCUGAACCAGAAAUAACUUGAUCUCUCAGUCAAUAAUGUUUGAGGGUUUUGUUAUCUAUAUACACAUAGAGGGUUGGGAAUUUGACCUUUUCAUAGGAUUUGAAACAUGUUCAUUUAAAGUCGUUGGUUAAAGCAUACUGCAAAAUAUGCGAUUCUGGAUUUCCUGCUUCGGAUGCGUUUUGCUGCAGCAGCACCACUGCAUGGUUGCUCAGUAAGCAAACAAGGUUUGUGCUCUAAAAUAAAAACUUGUAUCUAAACAGCACAGCAGGUAAUCUUAUGAAUUUCACUGGAUAAAAACUGAGACCUGGCCCCGCCCCCUCGGUGGGCAGAUCAAUCUGAGGUUUAUUGACAUCAGGAGGGUUCAGAAUGUCAUUUUGGAAGAAACCAGGUCAUUUGGUGAUGUAAAAGCUGUUGCUGCAGAGUCCAACUCAGACGUUGACGCUUUAAUCCCAUGAAGGCAUGAAUCCAUCACCUUUGCCAGAGGAAAUGUUCCUUCCAAAGACAAACUGAUGGAACAGCCAGCAGCUCCUCACAGAAGAACGUCCUCAGACUUUGGCAGCUCUCUGUUUUUGAUGACGCGUCACAGAACACCAGCAGUUAGCCUCCCCCCACCUGCAGUUUGUGUUUGAGUCCUUAAAGCAGACGCACAUAGAAACUCCUGAAAACUUGCAGAAUCAGUCGGGUUCAAGGGAAAGUUUUCGUGUUUUAACACCAAUUAAAAUUAUAGUCAGCAAAUAAAAGUUUGGCAGUCGGAGCUGUGCUCCUGGAGUCGACAUUUUUAUGCUGAAAUGUUUCCCUUUGAAGGCUGCGAGGGGAAAAUCGCAGACGCUGUAAUGAAGC
ensembl:lncRNA